rnacentral:rRNA from 1 species
GUCUAUGGCCAUACCACCCUGAACAAGCCUGAUGUCUGGUCUCGGAAGCUAAGCAGGGUUGGGCCUGGUUAGUACUUGGAUGGGAGACCACCUAGGAAGACCAGAUGCUGAGACA